rnacentral:rRNA from 1 species
UACGUAGGGCGCGAGCGUUGUCCGGAAUUAUUGGGCGUAAAGAGCUCGUAGGCGGCCUGUCGCGUCGGUUGUGAAAGUCCGGGGCUCAACUCCGGAUCUGCGGUGGGUACGGGCAGACUAGAGUGAUGUAGGGGAGACUGGAAUUCCUGGUGUAGCGGUGAAAUGCGCAGAUAUCAGGAGGUACACCGAUGGCGAAGGCAGGUCUCUGGGCAUUAACUGACGCUGAGGAGCGAAAGCAUGGGGAGCGAACAGG